GAUGAACGCUGGCGGCGUGCCUAAUACAUGCAAGUCGAGCGAACAGACGAGGAGCUUGCUCCUCUGACGUUAGCGGCGGACGGGUGAGUAACACGUGGAUAACCUACCUAUAAGACUUGGAUAACUUCGGGAAACCGGAGCUAAUACCGGAUCAUAUAUUGAACCGCAUGGUUCAAUAGUGAAAGACGGUUUUGCUGUCACUUAUAGAUGGAUCCGCGCCGCAUUAGCUAGUUGGUAAGGUAACGGCUUACCAAGGCAACGAUGCGUAGCCGACCUGAGAGGGUGAUCGGCCACACUGGAACUGAGACACGGUCCAGACUCCUACGGGAGGCAGCAGUGGGGAAUCUUCCGCAAUGGGCGAAAGCCUGACGGAGCAACGCCGCGUGAGUGAUGAAGGUCUUCGGAUCGUAAAACUCUGUUAUUAGGGAAGAAAAAAUGUGUAAGUAACUAUGCACGUCUUGACGGUACCUAAUCAGAAAGCAACGGCUAACUACGUG
rnacentral:rRNA from 1 species